AGCUAUUUGGUCCGUUAAAGAUAAAAAGAACCUACCACUGAGUAUCAAACCCAGCCUAUGGGCCUCAAUUAUGUGGAAUUUAAGUGACUAACUCCCAUGGAAAUUUCGCGGAACCAAAGGAAGCAUGUAUUACGUUGUCAUCUCUUCAUCUUUAUUAUGUGCUUCAUUAUCUAACAAAGUUAUGAUAAGUGCACAUUGA